UCUUAGUGGCGGACGGGUGAGUAACGCGUGGGGAACCUGCCCUGUACGGGGGGAUAACACUUAGAAAUAGGUGCUAAUACCGCAUAAGCGCACAGUAUCGCAUGAUACAGUGUGAAAAACUCCGGUGGUACAGGAUGGACCCGCGUCUGAUUAGCUGGUUGGCGGGGUAACGGCCCACCAAGGCGACGAUCAGUAGCCGGCCUGAGAGGGUGAACGGCCACAUUGGGACUGAGACACGGCCCAAACUCCUACGGGAGGCAGCAG
rnacentral:rRNA from 1 species